rnacentral:snRNA from 16 species
AAGUGUAGUAUCUGUUCUUAUCGUAUUAACCUACGGUAUACACUCAAAUGGGUGUAAUAAAGGUUAUGUGAUUUUUGGAACCUAGGGAAGACUCGGGGCUUGCUCCGACUUCCCAAGGGUCGUCCC